rnacentral:rRNA from 1 species
GUGGGGAAUAUUGGACAAUGGGCGAAAGCCUGAUCCAGCCAUGCCGCGUGUGUGAAGAAGGUCUUCGGAUUGUAAAGCACUUUAAGUUGGGAGGAAGGGCAGUAAGUUAAUACCUUGCUGUUUUGACGUUACCGACAGAAUAAGCACCGGCUAACUUCGUGCCAGCAGCCGCGGUAAUACGAAGGGUGCAAGCGUUAAUCGGAAUUACUGGGCGUAAAGCGCGCGUAGGUGGUUUUGUAAGUUGGAGGUGAAAUCCCCGGGCUCAACCUGGGAACAGCCUCCAAAACUGCAUGACUAGAGUACGGUAGAGGGUAGUUGAAUUUCCUGUGUAGCGGUGAAAUGCGUAGAUAUAGGAAGGAACACCAGUGGCGAAGGCGACUACCUGGACUGAUACUGACACUGAGGUGCGAAAGCGUGGGGAGCAAACAGGAUUAGAAACCCCGGUAGUCC